UUCACCAAGUUCCCCCAAAUCUUUCAAAUCUCCCAAAUCCCCCGUAGUCCCUAAAUUCCCCAAAACUCCCCAUUUCCACCAAAUCCCCAAAUCUCCCAAAUUUCACCAAAUCCCCCAAAUCCUCUCCACCAACCCCCCAUCCCCCCUCCCCCUGACUUUGGGGUCUCCCCCCGGGGGUUUUGGGGUCGCCCCUGACUUUGGGGUCCCCCGGGGUUUUUGGGGUCCCCCCUGACUUUGGGAUCCCCCCGGGGUUUUUUGGGGUCCCCCUUACUUUGGGGUCCCGCAGCCCCCCCGGGGGUCCGGCCCUGCAGGAGCUGUUCCAGCGCUGCGUCCCCGUCCAGUGCCGCCCAGCCAGCGACGAGGAGCUGCUGCUGGUGCACAGCCCCCAGGACCCCCAGGACCCCCCCCAGCCCGCGGCCGUGGCCGCCCGGGUGGCGCAGAAACAGCUCGGGGUGCAGCGGUGAGGGGGGGCAACGACGGGGGAGGGG